UGGGGAAUUUUGGACAAUGGGCGAAAGCCUGAUCCAGCAAUGCCGCGUGUGUGAAGAAGGCCUUCGGGUUGUAAAGCACUUUUGUCCGGAAAGAAAUCCUUGGCUCUAAUACAGUCGGGGGAUGACGGUACCGGAAGAAUAAGCACCGGCUAACUACGUGCCAGCAGCCGCGGUAAUACGUAGGGUGCAAGCGUUAAUCGGAAUUACUGGGCGUAAAGCGUGCGCAGGCGGUUUGCUAAGACCGAUGUGAAAUCCCCGGGCUCAACCUGGGAACUGCAUUGGUGACUGGCAGGCUAGAGUAUGGCAGAGGGGGGUAGAAUUCCACGUGUAGCAGUGAAAUGCGUAGAGAUGUGGAGGAAUACCGAUGGCGAAGGCAGCCCCCUGGGCCAAAUACUGACGCUCAUGCACGAAAAGCGUGGGGAGCAAAACAGGAUUAGAUACCCUGGUAGUCCACGCCCUAAAACGAUGUCAACUAGUUGUUGGGGAUUCAUUUCCUUAGUAACGUAGCUAACGCGUGAAGUUGACCGCCUGGGGAGUACGGUCGCAAAGAUUAAAAACUUAAAUGAAUUGACGGGGUCAUAGCUGUUUCCU
rnacentral:rRNA from 1 species